GACGAACGCUGGCGGCGUGCUUAACACAUGCAAGUCGAACGGAAAGGCCCUGCUUUUGUGGGGUGCUCGAGUGGCGAACGGGUGAGUAACACGCGAGUAACCUGCCCUUGACUUUGGGAUAACUUCAGGAAACUGGGGCUAAUACAGGAUAGGAGCUCCUGCUGCAUGGUGGGGGUUGGAAAGUUUCGGCGGUUGGGGAUGGACUCGCGGCUUAUCAGCUUGCUGGUGGGGUAGUGUCUUACCAAGGCUUUGACGGGUAGCCGGCCUGAGCUGGUGACCGGCCACAUUGGGAUUGGAAUACGACCCGGACCCCUACGGGAGGCAGGGGUGGGGAAGAGUGCACAAUGGGCGGAGGCCUGAUGCAGCAACGCCGCGUGGGGUAAGACGGCCUUCGGGUUGUAAUCCGCUUUCGCCUGUGACGAAGCGUGAGUGACGGUAAUGGGUAAAGAAGCACCGGCUAACUACGUG
rnacentral:rRNA from 1 species